AUGUCGAUGCCGUUACCGGGGCGGACGCUCGUCGACCUCGACGGCGACGCGCUGGCCCACUGCGCGCGCCACCUCGGCGCCCGCGACGUCGCCAGCCUUGCUAUGGCCUGCCGCCCGUUGCGCGCCGCCGCCUACUGCGACGCCGUAUGGUACCACCUUUACAGGGGGCAAUGGCCGUUUCAACAAGUGCCUCGUGGAGCUUUGGGGAUUAGAGAACUAUACAUUCGGAGGCACACUGAAGUACAUCAAAUGAAAUUUGAGGAUCCCUUAUCAUCUAUUUAUUAUCUAGAUCCCACGGAGCCGACACCAAGCCAUCUAAUGCUUGAUAGGAAUGGUGUUUGGUUCUCUCAAGGGCCAGUAGUCAAAAGAUUGAGGCUUGGUCUGGACAUGGAAUUAGUGGAAACCUACAGGACCCAUAGCGCGAGGAUCACUUGUAUGAGAUUGUUCCCACUAAUCGACACCCCAUUGUAUCGAAGUGAUGCACAUAGAAAUGAAAUGGCAUUAGUCACUUCAAGCACAGAUAGAACAGUCCGUCUUUGCUGGAAGGGCCAAUCACGCUGUUACAAGGGCCAUUCAGGACCUGUUACUGCUCUGGCUGACAAAUUGCUUGAUGACGGUGAAUGUAAAAUACUCGCAACUGGUGGUGAAGACUGCACCAUUCGCCUUUGGUCUAUGAAUACAAGAGCAAAAAAACACCCUCUAAUAUCAACUUUGCAUGGGCAUGAAAAAACACUGUCACUUUUGUCUGUUGCUUGGCAUAAAUCCUCCCUGCUGGUCAGCAGUUCCAAAGAUACAAAGGUGAAAGUGUGGGACACAAUGGCACCUCCUUCCAGUGUCUCAUCAUCAUGUGUUGGGGGUGCUCAUCUUAACUCAAGUGGUCCACCGAUUGCAAUCAAAUGCUACGAAUCCCUUUGUUACAUUGCUGCUGGAUCCGAAGUGACAGCAAUUGAUUUGAGGACGAUGAAGAAGGCUUCUGUUCUUGCACUUCGUAACCAAAGAAUACUUUCUUGUGAGAUGCUGCCCUCUGAAUGGCUAAUAUGCACGGGCAUAAAAGACAAGGCUCUUCUGUGGGAUAUUCGUAAGCCUCAAGAACUCAAGCACACAGUCGCAGAACUGCAUUCAGAUGGUCCUGUGACGUUGCUUCACUUGGAUCCAUACAAGGUAGUGAUGGGCGCGCCAUGGGAUGGUCAGGUCCAUGUCUGGGAAACCCGGACGGGCCACUUGGUGAACAGAUUGAGUUGCGAUGAGCCUGUUAAAUCAGGAGGGAGAAGCACAGUGUCAGCCAUGGCUGUGGACGGGCGUAGGAUUGUCACUGCAGGGAGUAGUUCAACCAGAGGCAGCCUGUUACACUACCAAGACUUUCUGAGAUCCUCAGUUCCUGUAGCUUUACCUGGCAAGGAAGUUUCCAAGUUCUGGGGAUCUCAAGAAUAUGACGAUGAAGACUAG
rnacentral:rRNA from 1 species